rnacentral:tRNA from 1 species
GCCGACGUAGCUCAACGGUAGAGCUCCUGAUUUGUAAUCAGGGGGUUGGGGGUUCGAUUCCCUUCGUCGGCUCCA